UUGGUGUCUUCGAUCUACUUCGCUGUCGAUGUAGGAAGGUAAGAUUUGUUAUCAUCACUGAUCUGUUCUCUAGGGAACAUGACCUGUAUAAUGAACUUUAUGAACCUAAUUAUGCCUAGUGAUUAGGAUGUCAUGAUCAGAAUGAAUCAAAUGCUCCUAACUAGACAUGUAUGAAUGACAUUUGAAUGAAUGCAGAAUGUCAUGAAAAUGAUAUUUUAACGCUUGGGUUAUUAUUACUCCAAGUUUAUUAAGGUUUCAUCACUAAUGUGUUAUAACAUCUUCUUGCUCAGUUGGCAUCUCCAAAGAAACACUUGACCGGAUUGCCCCAACUGUAAACUUCCAAGUUUGAUCCACUGGGAUGCAAAAUUUGUACCAUCUUUCUCCCGUUGUAACCCAAGAGUAAAAAGAUUUGGCCUUUUCUCAAUCAUCUGUUAUCACAAUUCAAGGAUACAGGAUGUGAAACUUUUUGGUCUCUUUCACCAUUCCCAGGAUGUUGUACCAAAUGCUCAUGCACAAAUGAAGAAAUCUUCUCUAAGAACAACUUCUUAUUAUUAUUCGGUGAUCAUUGCUUGCUUGUUCAUUGAAGCUUUGUCACCAACACGACAUCUUGCCAUUUUGUUCAAGUAAUACUUUAGACAAUAAAAUUCAAA
rnacentral:lncRNA from 1 species